AGCAGCCGCGGUAAUUCCAGCUCCAAUAGCGUAUAUUAAAGUUGUUGCAGUUAAAAAGCUCGUAGUUGAAUUUCGGGAUCAAUUUAUUGGUCGUGCUAUUGUACGUACUGGUAUUAUUGAUUCCUACCUUCUGACGAACCAUGAUGUCAUUAAUUUGGUGUCAUGGGGAAUCAGGACUGUUACUUUGAAAAAAUUAGAGUGUUUAAAGCAGGCUCACGCUUGAAUACAUUAGCAUGGAAUAACGAAAUAGGACGUUUGAUUCUAUUUUGUUGGUUUCUAGGAUCGACGUAAUGAUUAAUAGGGAUAGUUGGGGGCAUUAGUAUUCAAUUGUCAGAGGUGAAAUUCUUGGAUUUAUUGAAGACUAACUACUGCGAAAGCAUUUGCCAAGGAUGUUUUCAUUAAUCAAGAACGAAAGUUAGGGGAUCGAAGACGAUCAGAUACCGUCGUAGUCUUAACCAUAAACUAUGCCGACUAGGGAUCGGAUGAUGUUAAUUUUUAAUGACUCAUUCGGCGCCUUAAC
rnacentral:rRNA from 1 species